rnacentral:rRNA from 1 species
UACGGAGGGAGCUAGCGUUAUUCGGAAUUACUGGGCGUAAAGCGCACGUAGGCGGCUUUGUAAGUUAGAGGUGAAAGCCCGGAGCUCAACUCCGGAACUGCCUUUAAGACUGCAUCGCUUGAAUCCAGGAGAGGUGAGUGGAAUUCCGAGUGUAGAGGUGAAAUUCGUAGAUAUUCGGAAGAACACCAGUGGCGAAGGCGGCUCACUGGACUGGUAUUGACGCUGAGGUGCGAAAGCGUGGGGAGCAACAGG